rnacentral:tRNA from 1 species
GGAACAUGGCUCAUUGGUAGAGGGCUGGCCUAGCAUGUGCGAGGCCCUGGGUUCAAUUCUCAGUACCA